UACUCAGAGUAGCAUUGGUUACUUAGACUAUAGUCACCAAGACCUCUCUGAGUAGA
rnacentral:pre_miRNA from 1 species